CACCGGAAGUGUGGCGGCCCCGCUUCUGCUGCGCCCACGCCUGGCCGGGAGCCUCGACGCUCCGGGCCGCUGGGAAGCAGUUGGAGGGUGAACUCCGCGGGCAGUACGUGCGUAAUGCAGGUGAAUGCACGGAAAACCCAAGAAGGGGAGCUCGAGGACGGAAAGCCUCAGCUUACCUAUUUGUGGCUACCCAGAAAGCUUUUGACUCUAAGGAGAUAGGGAAGAACAGGUUUUGCUGAUGUGACUCUCGCUACUUUAACCGAAGGGAAAACCGUACGUGGCCCACAUCACGUUUCUAGUACCAUUUAGGUCAUUUCACCUCACACGCCCUCCCAACUCUCUGCUGAUUGAAAUCCUCUUCCACAAGGCCAGAUUCAAGCUCUUCCUGCUCCUAGGCUCCAAACAUCACUCCUCUGAACAGCCAUUUCCUCGAUUGUAACCCAACAUGUCUUACCAGAUAAUCAGGAGCUUGGACAAGAAACAUGGCCUCUAUCAGUCAGCCAGUCUUGCUUGUAGCUUUUACCAUGUCUGUGUGUUUGUGGCUCUGUCUGCUGCUGCUGAUAAAUCAUUCUU